GGCUGGUUAGCUCAGUUGGUUAGAGCGUGGCACUAGUAACACCAAGGUCAAGGGUUCCAAUCCCCUUACUGACCAGCCA